GUUUUUUACCAGAUAAGCUUUUUAAAAAAUUAUGUUCAACAAUUAUCUUUUUAUUGUAGUUAAGUUUUUCAAAUUCUUGCUGUUUUCAAUAUCUCCUGGUUUCAUCAUCCCUACUGAGAAAUUACGUAUACAAUCUUAUAAUUAAUUGUUUGCUUUGGUCUUCUUUUAUUUUCCUGCUUUAUGAUAAAAUUUUCAUUAGCCUAAAUGUGUUAUUAAUUUUUCUUGUUUCUUAAAUAUUUGUUCAAUAUUAUAUUCACAACUUUAAGUUCAAAGGAUCAGUUUUCUGAACAGAUCUUCAUACACUAUAAAUUCCUUGUUGUAUGACCAUCUCUAAUAAUUUUAUUUUUAAUUUUUAGGUAAUGCCUGAUUAUAAUUUAAAUAAGGACGUUGACAAAAAUUAAUGAACCAUUUGCACAAAAAAUAUUUGAAUCAACAUUUAUUCACUCCUGGAAGAUAUUAAAUAUUUCAACAGAAUAUUCCAAUGGAUGGAACUUUUUCCAGCAUCUGGAUUAUUUUCCAGCUAAAGAGUUGGGAAUGUAAGGAAAGGAAAUGGCUAGACUAUUCAAGAUUCUACUGGCAGAUUAUUUGUGAUGGUUGGUCUCUUUUUGCCUCCUAGAACAUUCAAGAGUACUUCAAGAUGCAAAGGAAAGAAGAGUUAAGAAAAGAAGGCCUUUCAUAACAUAUUGUUCCACAGGGGCUCUGAGCCCCACCAGGACAAAGUUUUCACAGUUGCUAGAGUUAACAAGACACGAAACCUACUAGGAAAAGACCUGACUUCUAUUUGCCAUGAUGGAAAACUCCCCACAGUAAUUCUGGAAUGUUUUAUGUUACUAUCUGCCUUAUGGACAAGAUCCUGCUUCUUAAAUGAACCCUAAUCUCUUCAAUUCCAUCAGCAUGAAGAGAAACAAUUGUGCAUCAAAUCAUUGGCUAUACAAUAAGGAUAUGCUGUCUCUCAACAAAGAAAAUGGAACCAAAACUGAGGGUAUAUUGGCAAUAUCACUAAACAUAGCAUCAUGUCAAACAAUAAAGAAGUUGGAUUGUGAAAAAGAUGUAAACAUAAAAACAAUCCAUCUGUGCAUAUGGUAGCAUGUAUCUUAAAGGAAUUACUUCAAAUUAUCAAAGGAAAUUUGCUGACAUCUAGACUAUAUGAAGAAUGACUUGGGGUACAUGACCAGGUCAAUGAAGAAGAGAAAGUAGCCACUGUGCAGAGUCCUUAUUUCAAAUACCUCCCACCAGGACCAAAUGUGUAUGGUCUUGUCUAUUGAUAAGACAGAAAACCUACUUGAAAAAGAGCUGACAACAAUUUGUGAUGAUCGAAAUCUGCCCACAGAAAUUCUGGAUAUGCUGUUCUUCAUCCAAGAAAAGGGGCCCCAAAUUCAGGAUAUAUCCAUAAUUUCACACAACAUAGCAUCAUGAAGAAGUUGGAUUGUGAAGAAGAUGUAAACAUAAAAAAAUAAUCCAUCUGUGUAUAUGGUAGCAUGUAUCUUAAAGGUAAGGAAAGUCCUUGCAUCAUACACCCUCAGGAUUCUUCUCAAUCUAUUUGAGUAGUUUCCUUCAUUAUGCAUUCCCUUGAGUGGUAGUAGAUAACAUAUAAGAGAAAUCUGAUAAAAAAGCAAAAACAAAAACAAAAAGCUGUCAUAAUGAGCAGUAAUGUAACUAAGUAUCUUUCAUUUGAUUCUUCCACAAGUAUAUGGAGAGUCACUUCAUACAUGCAUAUGAGUUUCACCUGAUAUGCAUGCCUCCUCAGAUGCAUUUGUCUAAGAGUGUUCUUAAGGGUGUCACUCUCCUUUUUUUCUGAGAGGCAGGUUUCUCUUCCUAGGUAUAGAGCACGUGACUCCUUCAUGUAUAUCUUUGCUGUACAUACCCAGUAGAAUCUCUUGGUCUGCUUGUCCCUCUCACUCACAAAAUAUUGGUAUCCAAAUGAAGGUUCACAUGGCUAUGUAACACGUAUUCUUAAGUACUGGGCCAUUCCUUCAGCACCAUAAUUUUAUUGUUAUAUUUAAAAAUUAAAAUCAUUUCACUCCUCCCUAUUCCUUGCUCUAAUGUUGUUUCCCUUCAAUCUCCCACUUCUGAUAAAAUACAUUUUCUUUAACUGUUAUUUUGUAGAUACAAAUAAAUCCAUAAAUAUGUUCAAAUAACCUGAUGAGUCCAUUAUCCUUGUUAGUAUCUGUACUAUUUCCAAAGGAACCAACUGUGAUUGGCUUACAAAUUAGGGGGUUCAUUUUUGAGAAAGACCAAUUUCCUCACUCUUCAUAGUAUUUAUUUGCAUGUAGUUCCUUAUCUAAAAGUUUGACUUCAUGAGAUUUCCUCAUUUUGAUUUAGUGUUACUAACUUGGAUAAUGUUUUGUUUAGAACUUGCUUAAACAACCAGACUGUGGGACUAACAAAAGUGAAGCUUCUCCUGCAUUUCUCUGAGGCCCAAUCCCAAAGCAGAUAUCCUGAUCCUCUGGAAUUACUUCAAAUCACUUAAGAAAGUCUGCUGACAUCUCGACUAUAUGAAGAAUGACUUGGAGUACCAGACCAAGUCAAUGAAGAAGAGAAAGUAGCCACUGUGCAGAGUCUUUUAGAAAACUACUGCACUCACAUGUUACUCUUCUAAGACAACGUUUCAAAUUAUUAUAUUAAGUUGAGAGGAAUUCUUCUGUGAACCAGAUGACAGCUUAUGAUUUAUCUGUUGUGCCAAGUAUCCUAUAUCUGCCUAGUUCCCACAAUAAACGAUUAGCAAAUGAUAUUGCCAAAAAGAUUUCUCUUAUAAACUUUCCAAUUGAAAACUCCCUGAAAUUAUUUGAAGAAGACUCAGUUUUAGUUUAUUAUGAGACCUCAUUAUUUCACCCUUAUGGAGUGGACUCUGAUUCCCAGAAUAAUCUUUCUAAUCCAGAAGGCAUGCGUGCUAUAAAAGGAAAAGGGCAUGCAAGAGCUAAGUGAAUUCAACUACAACAAACGAUGACAUACCUUCUUUCAUAGAAUCAGAGAAACCUGAAAAAUACAUUUUUUUAUAAAUCAAUUAAUUACUUGUGAAUCUGAUACCCGCAAAGUCAAUGUAUACAUAGCCCCACCAGCACCAAACAAAAAGCAACUUGUUGGGAAUUAUCAAAUUCUGCCAGCACCAAUAAAGAAAAAAACCCUUCUUAGCAAGUCUCUCAUGGAAAUCUUUCUUCUCCAAUACUGGAUAUAUUAGCUAUCAUUGCUGAAAAGGGACAAAAGUCAUAUAAAAUACUAAGAACACUAUCAGUUGAAUCACACUGGUACACGAGGGAUAAAAUUGAUGCUGAAUAAGAAGAGGUGAAUUGGAGUCAAGAAUCAGUCCUUGUUAUAGUAUCUGCUUUAUAGGGGGAUUUCAUUCUAAAUAUAUAAAGAAACUUGCUUUCUACAGAUUUAUGUAAUUUAUUUGGUGUCUCUGAUCAAGAAAUUUGAUCAAAAGAUUCUGCUAUCCAAAGAUAAUGAUACAGUAAAUUCUUCGGGAACCAUACAAAGAUAGAAGAAAUGCAUUUUUAAAGUUUUCUACCACAGAUGCCACAACAAAACUUCAUCCUACUAAAACACCUUAUUCAUGUGUUAUUAAAGAUUAAAAUUUCUCCCAUGAAGACUUAGACUCUUAACAGUUUAUCUGUUCACAUAACCCCUAUAUUCCAUGGCAUUCUACUUCCAGCAACUCGUUAUUUGGGAAUGACCUUUCCAAAAAGAUUUCUAUUGAAGAAAUUCUAACUGAAAACUAGCUCUAGAUAUUUGGAGAUGACGAUCAUACAUUUUAUAAAGAUAUUCCAAAAAGGUCUGAUGACAUAAAAAUGUCUUCAGGUUCACUAAAUACUGUUGAUAGAGCAUGUGCUAUGAAAGAUGCCAUAAGUGACCCCCCUGAGAAAACCUUCUUUAAUGCUAAUGCUGAAAAAUUAAAGAUUCCAUUUGCUGCCCCUCAGAAGGAAGGUCCUACAGAGAGCAGGGCACAACAAACAGCUUCUAUAUGUUCCGUGUUUAACAGUGGAAUCAAUGGCAGAGGAUGACUGAAGAUGCUUACAGCUCAUUCUACUUCAAAGUUCCUUUCCACCUCCCAUUCAACAAUAGAAGAAUAUAUCAUUACAAGACACUGCAGCUUUUAUAUUUUACAUUAUUGUUACAAAGAGUUGUCACUGAUCAUUUUGACUUUAUGCUAUAUAUUACACAUUCUUUAUUAUUAUAAUGAAUGUUAUUAAACUAUAAUAUUGAUUAAACUCC
rnacentral:sRNA from 1 species